rnacentral:rRNA from 1 species
CCUACGGGCGGCUGCAGUGAGGAAUAUUGGUCAAUGGGCGCAAGCCUGAACCAGCCAAGUCGCGUGAGGGAAGACGGCCCUACGGGUUGUAAACCUCUUUUGCCGGGGAGCAAGCCUGAGCACGUGUGCCCAGGCGGAGAGUACCCGGAGAAAAAGCAUCGGCUAACUCCGUGCCAGCAGCCGCGGUAAUACGGAGGAUGCGAGCGUUAUCCGGAUUUAUUGGGUUUAAAGGGUGCGUAGGCGGACUGUUAAGUCAGCGGUAAAAGCCCGGGGCUCAACCCCGGCGAGCCGUUGAAACUGGCUGUCUUGAGAUGUCGAGAGGUAUGCGGAAUGCGCAGUGUAGCGGUGAAAUGCUUAGAUAUUGCGCAGAACUCCGAUUGCGAAGGCAGCAUACCGGCGGCGAUCUGACGCUGAGGCACGAAAGCGUGGGUAUCGAACAGGAUUAGAUACCCGAGUAGUC